AGUUUUGUUCCCAUUUGCGGUGAAUUAAUUUGUAGAUGCCGCAAUUUCAAAGAUUCGGUGAAUUCCUAGACGCCGCAAUUUCUUCUAAUCUACAUGUGGUGAGGAUGUAUGGCGCAGGAAAUGCCAAAACUACCGCUUUCUAAAAUUUACAGCUGUUGGGUUGGAUAUGCGGUGAAUAAAUGAAGAAAUCCACUCACAGAAUUAGAUCUAUGGGUUUUGCGAACGCUGGCUUCAAACAAUAGUUGAGCAAAUUUAUGGGUUUCUUGGAAUGCAGCGCAACAACGUUAAGAUAUUUGAAAGCUCAUGUUUUGAACCCAGAAGGAUCCGAGUCAGAUGAAGCUACGUUGUCCCGAGCCAGAUUUUUGCGCUAAUUACUUCUUCCCUUACUAUUUAAUUUUGGCAUGAUUAUUAGAAUUUUGCUACUUUUGGAAAAAAAAAAAAAAAAAAAAGAAAAAAAAAAUUCUUUUAUCAAUUUGCAGUUAUUAUAAUGGCCUGACUUGUGGGCUGAUUUUUGACAUUCUUGGAUUUGAUAAUUUUGAUUUGAACAAUUCUGUGUUUUUUGAUGAUUCUCUUGUUCUCUUCCCAAAAAUUCUAU